rnacentral:rRNA from 1 species
GGGCCUCUCGCGUCAGGAUAUGCCUAGGUGGGAUUAGCUAGUUGGUGAGGUAAGGGCUCACCAAGGCGACGAUCCCUAGCUGGUCUGAGAGGAUGAUCAGCCACACUGGAACUGAGACACGGUCCAGACUCCUACGGGAGGCAGCAGUGGGGAAUAUUGCACAAUGGGCGCAAGCCUGAUGCAGCCAUGCCGCGUGUGUGAAGAAGGCCUUCGGGUUGUAAAGCACUUUCAGUCGUGAGGAAGGCGGGUACGUUAAUAGCGUAUUCGUUUGACGUUAGCGACAGAAGAAGCACCGGCUAACUCCGUGCCAGCAGCCGCGGUAAUACGGAGGGUGCGAGCGUUAAUCGGAAUUACUGGGCGUAAAGCGCAUGCAGGUGGUUUGUUAAGUCAGAUGUGAAAGCCCGGGGCUCAACCUCGGAAUAGCAUUUGAAACUGGCAGACUAGAGUACUGUAGAGGGGGGUAGAAUUUCAGGUGUAGCGGUGAAAUGCGUAGAGAUCUGAAGGAAUACCGGUGGCGAAGGCGGCCCCCUGGACAGAUACUGACACUCA